rnacentral:rRNA from 1 species
CUGGUCUCAAAGAUUAAGCCAUGCAUGUCUAAGUAUAAGCAACUUGUUACUGUGAAAACUGCGAAUGGCUCAUUAAAUCAGUUAUCGUUUAUUUGAUAGUACCUUACUACAUGGAUACCUGUGGUAAUUCUAGAGCUAAUACAUGCUAAAAACCCCGACUUCAGGAAGGGGUGUAUUUAUUAGAUAAAAAACCAACGCCCUUCGGGGCUCCUUGGUGAAUCAUAAUAACUUAACGAAUCGCAUGGCCUUGCGCCGGCGAUGGUUCAUUCAAAUUUCUGCCCUAUCAACUUUCGAUGGUAGGAUAGUGGCCUACCAUGGUGGCAACGGGUAACGGGGAAUUAGGGUUCGAUUCCGGAGAGGGAGCCUGAGAAACGGCUACCACAUCCAAGGAAGGCAGCAGGCGCGCAAAUUACCCAAUCCCGAUACGGGGAGGUAGUGACAAUAAAUACUGAUACGGGGCUCUUUUGGGUCUCGUAAUUGGAAUGAGAACAAUUUAAAUCCCUUAACGAGGAACAAUUGGAGGGCAAGUCUGGUGCCAGCACCCCCGGUAAUUCCAGCUCCAAUAGCGUAUAUUAAAGUUGUUGCAGUUAAAAAGCUCGUAGUUGAACCUUGGGUCUGGCUGGCCGGUCCCCCUCACCCCGAGUACUGGUCCGGCUGGACCUUUCCUUCUGGGGAACCUCAUGGCCUUCACUGGCUGUGGGGGGAACCAGGACUUUUACUGUGAAAAAAUUAAAUGUUCAAAGCAGGCCUUUGCUCGAAUACAUUACCAUGGGAAUAAUAAAAUAGGACGGGGGGUCC